rnacentral:rRNA from 1 species
UACAGAGGGUGCGAGCGUUGUCCGGAAUCACUGGGCGUAAAGCGCGCGUAGGCGGAUCGUUAAGUCGGGGGUGAAAUCCUGGAGCUCAACUCCAGAACUGCCUUUGAUACUGGCGAUCUUGAGUCCGGGAGAGGUGAGUGGAACUCCGAGUGUAGAGGUGAAAUUCGUAGAUAUUCGGAAGAACACCAGGGGCGAAGGCGGCUCACUGGCCCGGUACUGACGCUGAGGUGCGAAAGCGUGGGGAGCAAACGGG